rnacentral:rRNA from 1 species
CCUCAUUGAUCCUGCUAGUUGUCAUAUCCUUGUCUUAAAGAUUAAGCCAUGCAUGUGUAAGUAUGAACCAAUUUAGACUAUGAAAUUAUGAAUGGCUAAUUAAAUCAAUUAUAAUUUGUUUGAUGGUAUAUACUACUUUGAUAACUAUAGUACUUCUAGAGCUAAUACAUGCAACAAGCCUCAACUUUUAGAAGAGAUUCAUUUAUUAAAUAAAAAAGGUUGACAUGGGCUUUGCCCAUUGCUUUAAUGAUUCAUGAUAACUCAAUGAAUUGCACGACUUUUGCGUCGGUGAUGCAUCAUUCAAAUUUUACCUUAUCAACUUUUAAUGGUAGGAUAGUGGCCUAUUAUAAUGGUGACAGGUGAUGGACAAUUAGGGUUUGAUUUUAGAAAAAUAGCUUAAGUAAUGGCUACCAUGUCCAAGGAAGGCAGCAGGCAUGCAAAUUACCCAAUCUUAACAUGAAGAGGUAGUGACAAUAAAUAACAAUGUGGGCUUUAUGAGUCUGGUAAUUGGAAUGAGUACAAUUUAAAUCCCUUAACAAGGAUCCAUUGAAGGGCAAGUCUAGUGCCAGCAACUGCAUUAAUUUUAGCUCCAAUAGCAUAUAUUUAAGUUGUUGCAAUUAUAAAGCUUAUAGUUAGAACUAGGGCUGGGUCUUUCGAUUUGCGUCAUUAUAAGCAUAGGUCUACUCAUUCUUACUAUCGGUGAUGCACUCCAGCCCUAAUUAGAUGGGUCAUUCCUUUGGCAUUGUUACUUUGAAGAAAUUAGAGUGCUCAAAGUAGGCUUACGCUUGUAUACACUAGCUUGGGAUAACAUCAUAGAAUUUUGGUCCUACUAUGUUGUCCUUUGGGAUCAGAGUAAUGAUUAAUAUGGAUAGUGGAAGGCAUUCAUCUUUCAUAGUCAAAGGUGAAAUUCUUAGAUUUAUGAAAGAUAGACAACUAUGAAAGCAUUUGCCAAAGAUAUUUUCAUUAAUCAAGAAUGAAAGUUUAGGGCUUGAAGACAAUCAGAUAUCAUCCUACUCUUAACCAUAAAUGAUGCCAACCAAGGAUUGGCGGAUGUUACUUUUAAGAAUCCACUAGCACCUUAUGAGAAAUCAAAGUCUUUGGGUUCCAAGGGGAGUAUGGUCACAAGGUUGAAACUUAAAGGAAUUGAUGGGAAGGGCACCACCAAGAAUGGAGCCUGGAGCUUAAUUUGACUCAAUGUAGGGAAACUUACUAGGUCUAGACAUAGUAAGGAUUGAUAAAUUAAGAGCUCUUUCUUGAUCCUAUAGGUGGUGGUGCAUGGCUGUUCUUAGUUGGUGGAGUAAUUUGUCUAGUUAAUUCCAUUAACGAACUAGACCUUAGCCUACUAACUAGCUACAUGGAGGUCAUCCUUCAUGGCUAGCAUCUUGAAGGGACUAUGGUUGCUUAGGCCAAGAAAGUUUGAGGCAAUAACAGGUUUGUUAUGCCUUUAGAUGUUUUGGGCUGCAUACAUGCUACAUUGAUGUCUUCAAUGAGUCUAUAGCCUUGAUCAAUAGGCUUAAGUAAUCUUUGAAAUUUCAUCAUGAUAGAGAUAGUUCAUUGCAAGUUGGUCUUCAAUGAGGAAUUUCGAGUAAGCACGAGUCAUUAGCUUAUAUUGACAAAGUCCCCACCCUUUGUACAUGUCACCCAUCACUCUUACCAAUUGAAUGGUCUAAUAAAAUGUUCAAAUCAUGACGAUGUGGAUAGUUUACUGCCCAUGAUGUCAUGAGAAAUCCAUUACAGCUUAUCAUUUAGAGGAAGGAAAAGUCAUCAAAAGGUUUCCAUAGGUGAAGUUGUGGAAG